AAUCAACGCUGGCGGCGUGCCUCAGACAUGCAAGUCGAACGAUUAAAGCUCUCUUCGGAGAGUGCAUAGAGUGGCGCACGGGUGAGUAACACGUAAGUAAUCUACCCUCGAGUGGGGAAUAACGUCCGGAAACGGACGCUAAUACCGCAUAAUGCAGCGGCACCGCAAGGUGACAGUUGUUAAAGAUUUAUCGCUUGAGGAGGAGCUUGCGGCAGAUUAGCUAGUUGGUAAGGUAAUGGCUUACCAAGGCUACGAUCUGUAACCGGUCUUAGAGGACGGUCGGUCACACUGACACUGAAUAACGGGUCAGACUCCUACGGGAGGCAGCAGUCGGGAAUUUUGGGCAAUGGGCGAAAGCCUGACCCAGCAACGCCGCGUGAAGGAUGAAGUAUUUCGGUAUGUAAACUUCGAAAGAAUAGGAAGAAUAAAUGACGGUACUAUUUAUAAGGUCCGGCUAACUACGUG
rnacentral:rRNA from 1 species